rnacentral:rRNA from 1 species
CCUACGGGAGGCAGCAGUGAGGAAUAUUGGUCAAUGGGCGCGAGCCUGAACCAGCCAAGUAGCGUGAAGGAUGACUGCCCUACGGGUUGUAAACUUCUUUUAUAAAGGAGUAAAGUGAGCCACGCGUGCCUUUUUGAAUGUACUUUAUGAAUAAGCAUCGGCUAACUCCGUGCCAGCAGCCGCGGUAAUACGGGGGAUGCAAGCGUUAUCCGGAUUUAUUGGGUUUAAAGGGUGCGUAGGCUGGGAGGUAAGUCAGCGGUGAAAUGCCGCCGCUCAACGGGGUGAAGUGCCAUUGAUACUGGCUUUCUGGAAUGAGCAUGAAGUGGGAGGAAUGUGUGGUGUAGCGGUGAAAUGCAUAGAUAUCACACAGAACACCGAUUGCGAAGGCAUCUCAC